ACCCUUCGGAUUCCUUGUCCCUCAGAUCUAACUAUGGGUCUGAGUGGCUGUAAAAGAAGGAAAAGUAAAACUGAAGUGGACUUGGAGUCUUUAAUAACUUACAAGUUCAUUUCAAACAUAG
ensembl:snoRNA